AGUGAACGCUGGCGGUAGGCCUAACACAUGCAAGUCGAACGGCAGCACAGUAAGAGCUUGCUCUUACGGGUGGCGAGUGGCGGACGGGUGAGGAAUACAUCGGAAUCUACUUUUUCGUGGGGGAUAACGUAGGGAAACUUACGCUAAUACCGCAUACGACCUACGGGUGAAAGCAGGGGAUCUUCGGACCUUGCGCGAUUGAAUGAGCCGAUGUCGGAUUGGCUAGUUGGCGGGGUAAAGGCCCACCAAGGCGCCGAUCCGUAGCUGGUCUGAGAGGAUGAUCAGCCACACUGGAACGGAGACACGGUCCAGACUCCUACGGGAGGCAGCAGUGGGGAAUAUUGGACAAUGGGGGCAAGCCUGAUCCAGCCAUACCGCGUGGGUGAAGAAGGCCUUCGGGUUGUAAAGCCCUUUUGUUGGGAAAGAAAAGCAGCAGGUUAAUACCCCGCUGUUCUGACGGUACCCAAAGAAUAAGCACCGGCUAACUUCGUG
rnacentral:rRNA from 1 species